rnacentral:rRNA from 1 species
ACUGAACGCUGGCGGCAGGCCUAACACAUGCAAGUCGAGCGGAUGAUGGGAGCUUGCUCCUUGAUUCAGCGGCGGACGGGUGAGUAAUGCCUAGGAAUCUGCCUGGUAGUGGGGGACAACGUUUCGAAAGGAACGCUAAUACCGCAUACGUCCUACGGGAGAAAGCAGGGGACCUUCGGGCCUUGCGCUAUCAGAUGAGCCUAGGUCGGAUUAGCUUGUUGGUGGGGUAAUGGCUCACCAAGGCGACGAUCCGUAACUGGUCUGAGCGGAUGCUCAGUCACAAUGGAACUGCGACACGGUCCAGACUCCUACGAGAGGCAGCAGUGGGGUAUAUUGGACAAUGGGCGAAAGCCUGAUCCAGCCAUGCCGCGUGUGUGAAGAAUGUCUUCGGAUUGUAAAGCUCUUUAAGUUGGGAGGAAGGGUUGUAGAUUAAUACUCGGCAAUUUUGACGUUACCGACAGAAUAAGCACCGGCUAACUCUGUGCCAGCCGCCGCGGUAAAAC